rnacentral:rRNA from 1 species
CUACGGGUCGCAGCAGUGGGGAAUAUUGCACAAUGGAGGAAACUCUGAUGCAGCAACGCCGCGUGGAGGAUGACACUUUUCGGAGCGUAAACUCCUUUUAUAUAGGAAGAAGAUGACGGUACUAUAUGAAUAAGCGCCGGCUAACUCCGUGCCAGCAGCCGCGGUAAUACGGAGGGCGCAAGCGUUACUCGGAAUCACUGGGCGCAAAGAGCGUGUAGGCGGAUUAAAAAGUCAGAAGUGAAAUCCUAUAGCUUAACUAUAGAACUGCUUCUGAAACUCUUAAUCUAGAAUAUGGGAGAGGUAGAUGGAAUUUCUGGUGUAGGGGUAACAUCCGUAGAGAUCAGAAGGAAUACCGAUUGCGAAGGCGAUCUACUAGAACAUUAUUGACGCUGAGACGCGAAAGCGUGGGGAGCAAACAGGAUUAGAUACCCUGGUAGUC